rnacentral:misc_RNA from 1 species
UCAAACUUGGUCAUUUAGAGGAAGUAAAAGUCGUAACAAGGUUUCCGUAGGUGAACCUGCGGAAGGAUCAUUACUGAGUGAGGGUCGUCACGGCCCGAUCUCCAACCCUUUGUAAACCACACCUGUGUUGCUUCGGUGGGACGGUUCUCACGAGCCGCCGGGGGCAUCUGCCCCGGGAGCGUGCCCACCGCGAGCCGUCACAAAUACUGAUACCACUGUGUCUGAAUUUUUUGAUACCAAUCAAAAAGCAAAACUUUCAACAACGGAUCUCUUGGUUCUGGCAUCGAUGAAGAACGCAGC